UUGGCUACAGAAACUAACCUCCUUAACCUCUGUAAUUUUAAUUUUUACUUUUUUUUUGAGGACUAAUUUCUGGACAGCAUACUUGGGAAAAGCAGUUCCAAGAAUGAGAGGACUGAGACAAGAUCCACAGUGGAUGGGACUAGCUCUGGAACCAGAAGAAUCAAGCAAGUUGGUCUAAUUUUCUGGAUUUCAUUUUUUUACUUGCUACUUUGCAACUUAAAGGAAGUUAGUGUCUCCUCCAUCCUACCCCAGCAAGGGCCAAGCAGAGUGAUGUCCAAAUCAGCCUGACAACAAAGAAUGGGCCCGAGUCUCCUUUGCUGUGACCUAGUCCAGGAUCACCACAGGAUUCAGGAUCUCCAGGAGGAUGAGACACAGAACACAGCAUAGGAGGUCAUGGAAGAGUGCCCCAAGUGAAGGGGGGACACCAAAGAGGGAGCAUCUGAUUGCUUGGAGGAGUAGGGGGAGGAUUCCUGAAGGAAAUGACAUUUGAGUUGGACCUUGAAGACUGAGCCCCGCCUUCACCACUCAGAGGAGAGCAGGCAAGAGAGAGAGAAGAAAAUUUUUUCAAGAUGGGAUGGAUGUGCAGGAAGACAUCCAUUUGUGGUGUGUGAAAAGCAGAAGUAACAGGAAGGGGAAAGAUGAUGUGAACCAGUUGUCCAGAGUCACAGCAAUGCAGCCUGAAGACUUGGUGAGCUAUCCACCCAGAGUUUCCAUUAACCACCAAGAUUAUCACACAUGCAAAAGAUGGUGGAAUGAGAUAGACAUCACUACCCUAGAUGAAGAAAUUGAGGGCUCCAAAAGUCUUGAUUGGUAGAAGAGAGAGCUUGGGAUUUGGACACCGAUAAACAUGCCCCGUGCCAGUGAGCAGGCCAUGCUCCUCC